rnacentral:lncRNA from 1 species
GCCCAUUUUGACAAAUCACAUGUCCUCCACAUUCAUAAUAUGAAAUUGAAGAAUCCAUGAAAACUAUUGUAUAAAGUUUACCUUUUUGUGGUCCUUCCUCCACGGUCUGCAAAAGAGCUUCCUCCACAAAUACAUUUCCUUCGAAUUGUGUGCUUCUUUGCCUUUGGUCCCCCAUGCUUCUUACAACAAAGACGAGAAUCUUUCUAUAAUUUGUGGUCAAAUUUAAUUGAGUUGAUUAAGGAUAAAACCUAGGGUCACAAUGAUUUGGAAUGAAUUGUGAACAACGAAAAUUUCAAUUAAUUAGGUAUGUAGAUAUAGAACUUUUCGGAUAUGGAUUAUGAAGCUGGGACUGUUAAUUGAAUUAAUUAGUUUGAGGAUGUGACUUGAAGAUGAAGGUGAUUUGGGGAUGAAGAUUUUGAUCUCUCUGAUUUCUUUGAAGAAUUUUGAUUUUGUCCAUCCAAAAAAUAUUUUCCAAUUACACGAUUUUAACUAUUUAGAAAAUAAAAAUUUUAGAUGACGUUGAUAUGAUUCAUCAGCCACGUUAUUAAUUUUUAUCUCCACGUAGAAUUUAUUAUCUAGUUGUACAGAUGAAAUUGGCUUUGGUGAUGGAGUUCACAGUGGAAUAAGAGAGGCACGCUAAUAUACUGGUUUAUAAAAUUAUUUCUGAUCAAUUCUGAUUGAUUAUUUAAGAGAAAAGAGUUAGUCAGUGAUAAAAAUUUGAAGACCAAACAUAUUCUACACUGGGAGUAGGUCAAGUAGUUAAUUUAGUUACUCAAAAUUAAUUUCGGAUAAAUGAAAAAUUAAUGUCAAAUUUAAGUCGCUUAAAUACGUGAAAUUUUUGAGAAAUUGACUUUUUUGGACAUGACAUUUUAAAAAGUCACAUACAUUCAUUGUGGAGACGUGUCCCUUUGAGGAUGUAUUUUUCAACAAAACAAGUCUAUAAAAGACAUGUCUUUU